rnacentral:rRNA from 1 species
GUAGGUGGCAAGCGUUGUCCGGAAUUAUUGGGCGUAAAGCGCGCGCAGGCGGUUCUUUAAGUCUGAUGUGAAAGCCCACGGGCUCAACCGCGGAGGGUCAUUGGAAACUGGAGAACUUGAGUACAGAAGAGGAAAGCGGAAUUCCACGUGUAGCGGUGAAAUGCGUAGAGAUGUGGAGGAACACCAGUGGCGAAGGCGGCUUUCUGGUCUGUAACUGACGCUGAGGCGCGAAAGCGUGGGGAGCAAACAGGAUUAGAUACCCUGGUAGUCCACGCCGUAAACGAUGAGUGCUAAGUGUUAGGGGGUUUCCGCCCCUUAGUGCUGCAGCUAACGCAUUAAGCACUCCGCCUGGGGAGUACGGCCGCAAGGCUG